AUGUGUCGUGUGCAGAUAUCGGACGAGGUGCAGGCGGGCAGCGUGCUGCUGCCGGCCACGCGGCGCGGCCGCUACCUCGCCAACAUCAUCCGGAGGCAGGCCGUCGACGGAACUGGAAUAAAGUUUCACAAAGAUGCAGAUCGACUUAACGCAGAAUCGAAAAAGAAGAUAGAUGUGUUAUCUGAGGAACUGCUGCCAUACAUCAUAGCGGAGCAGGAGAGGCGGACCACCCUGUAUAAGAGGGUGAUGACCGCGAUACAGAACGGGGAGAAAGGAGUCACCAUCGCAGAGAUCCGGAACAAACCUCCCGUCAUUAUUCGCAAAGGCUCGUUCUACCGCUGCCCGUCCAACCGGGCGCCGCGCGAGCCUGACGGCUCCGGGACCGUUCUCUGCGAGGACGAGUCGGCCCCGCUCUCCGUGCUGUUCGAGUCCUGUCUCAGCGCGGAGGACAAGGAGCUGUAUACCGUCAACAACCAGUACUUCUUCUGUAACCGUCAUAAGCAAGAACCUCAGGAUCUACCCCGCAAUGGCUCCACGGUGUUCGGCUGUCAGCCCGCCGAGAGGACCUCCCUCAACUACACCAAGACCAAGUGUGCGCUGGAAGACACUGACGACGUGGUCGUGCACUACCGCUACUACCCUGACAAGUCGUACAAGUUCGUGCAAGACCUGGACCCGGACCGCGAGGUGUGCGACCACUGGAACCCGUGCCAGAUCGGGUACAUCUUCAGCAUCGCGUCCGCGGACCAGGCGCUGCUGGCCAGCGAGAUAUGGAGUGAGUACUAGGACAGCACGGAAGAGGGAGUACAUCCAGGCCUGAAGUCCUAUGAAACGAGUCCGAGGCAAGUGAAGAUACCUGAAGGAUACACCUACGAGGCCAUCCAUGUCAGGGAUACUACCGGAAUGACUAGAAAGCUAAAUGACAAGCACGUGAAGGCAUCUGUAGUAGAUCCCACGAACACCAAGAGAUCCAUCACAGACACACUGAUGUCAAUAAAUCUGGUGUUUCCAAAGUGGAUGCCGCAGUUCUACGGAGAUUACUUCGCGGUCUUUCGACACAAGACCAACCCCAGGAAAGAAAAGCGUUUGCUGUUAUUGUCACUUGUGAAGUCUUCAAUCUGGAUGCCGAGCCAAGUCCUGGACAGCAUAUCCCAGCACGCGAACGCCUCGUCCAGGGUUCCCUUCAGGUGUGAGGGCUGCCGGCUCCUCGGGGUCAUGGUGCGGGCUACUGCGGGCACCUUCGCGAACCUGGCGUCCAGCCGGUACCGCGUGGGAGACAGCGGCAAUGACGGCCAGAGAACAAGGUAUUUAGAAAUAGACGUAAACGGGCCUGCCGAGUAUGGGGACUACUUCGCCAUCGUCCAAAACAGCGACGGGCUGGAGGAACGUGUCAAAGCACUCUCCUUAGAGGGUAAGCACUGUCUCACUCUCUGUAAUGAAUAUUAUGAAUAAUAAAUACAACACAAUACAAUACAACACUCUGCUGUUGGAUAUACGCUCAGGAGCAAUGAACAAGUUCUAGUGACAAAAAGCACCAAAUUACGCCUAUACGGA